CAGAGACCUCCUCCAACUUUAUAGAUACUAACAUCCCUCUUGCAAGUGGUUACUCUACAGGGAAGAUUGUGGACCCAGUAGAAGUAAAGAUUCAAGUUUCUGCCUAAUAUAUGGAAGCGAUUUGCCUGGGUUAAAUAUAUUUUAAUCCACUCAUUUGAAGUUUACAAGCAUUUCAAUAUGUCAUUAUAGAAAGCCUGUACACAAAUUUCCAAAGACAAAAAGUGACAGCAGCACAAAUGUGGUUUUGGGAACAUAUCAUGAUGACAGAACUGGAUGACUGUGGGGAACAGGCAAGGGCAGCUGUUAGGUGUGAAUGUGACACUCAACACUCAGAUGCUUGCAGUUCACAAUUUGCUUUUAUCAGAAUCAGCAACCUCACAACUGCCAUUCUGCGUUAACUCCAGCCUGCCCCCGGCAGACCUGCAUUAACCUUUGCUUAUGGAGCCACGGCAGGACUCAAGCAAAUAAAAAAAUAUAACAUGUCAGAUUCGCCACUGGUGUAAAUCAGCAUCUCUGCACAGACUUUGAAGGAGCAGCACCUGCUCGCUCAAGCUGAGGAUCUUGCCCCGUGCCACUAUAGCAUCAUUAAGUUGUCACAUUCUUCCCCUGCCUCUCCUUUUGUCGUCUAGCUGCAACUUUUCUGUGUUGAAGACUAGAGUAGGGUCUUUGAUCCUCCGAUAACUCCUUGAGGCUCCCUCUGUCCCUAAGAUAAUUGGCCGGGACAUUUCCUGAGUUAUCCAGGGUCAUCUUAUCUGCCCUUUUACUUGGAGAGGGAUUACAGGCAAGAGAAAAGUCUUGGAGCCUUCACAGAUGCAGAUGACCUACACGAGUGCUGCCGUGUGUAGUAGGUCAGGCACCCCUCCUGACACAAGGGACACCCCAUUGCUUAACCUAUCCUGAUACUGAUGUGGAAACAGAAACCCUUCAGGGUGGCAGCACUCCUGACAAAGCAAGACUGUGUACCACUUCUGUCCCAGCUUACUGGGCAAGCUGGAAAAGGAAAGAGGAUGAGCUGCUUUUCUGCUUAUCAAGGUAUUUACACACUACAAUCAAGCAAGCUCACAACAUUCUUCAAAGUUCUCAGGAGAGUAAGCAGCUUGUCCAUGUCUCCAGCGCCCAAAUUCCCACCCACCAUCCCUAGGUGGGUCCAGAUUUUGUUUAGGAGAUCAUGGAGUGAGAACACAGGAACAGUGAUCUGAAUGGAACUCACUGCAUACGGUCAUAAGAAGGUAAGAGUUGGGUAGGAGCAAAUUGUGAAAAUUGUAACUGAUAGGAGAGGAAAAAAGAAAAGACAACAAAAGUAUCUUAAAAGCUCUGCUUUGUGUCCAUUGUCAUUACAAAUAUUAAGUAGCCCAUUG
rnacentral:lncRNA from 1 species